AGGAUNAAUNGUCAUNNACGGGAUUAUCCCCGCUGACGAAAGCGCCAUUUUCGACNAUCGUCACGCCUUUUGUCUGCAGAAAAUAAGGGCAGUACCUUCAUUUUAGCGUCAGGUGGAUGUUUUUGCUCUUAUUUCGAUCAUGAANUAAANCGGGAAAA
rnacentral:sRNA from 1 species